rnacentral:rRNA from 1 species
ACGAACGCUGGCGGCGUGCUUAACACAUGCAAGUCGAACGGAAAGGCUCCAGCUUGCUGGAGUACUCGAGUGGCGAACGGGUGAGUAACACGUGGGUAAUCUGCCCUGCACUCUGGGAUAAGCCUGGGAAACUGGGUCUAAUACUGGAUAUGACCUUUCUCCUUAUGGGGUUUGGUGGAAAGUUUUUCGGUGUAGGAUGAGCCCGCGGCCUAUCAGCUUGUUGGUGGGGUGAUGGCCUACCAAGGCGACGACGGGUAGCCGGCCUGAGAGGGUGAUCGGCCACAUUGGGACUGAGAUACGGCCCAGACUCCUACGGGAGGCAGCAGUGGGGAAUAUUGCACAAUGGGCGGAAGCCUGAUGCAGCGACGCCGCGUGAGGGAUGACGGCCUUCGGGUUGUAAACCUCUUUCAGCAGGGACGAAGCGUAAGUGACGGUACCUGCAGAAGAAGCACCGGCUAACUACGUG